rnacentral:piRNA from 1 species
UNGCCUUUGUGCCUUCUCUGCAGGAACCUC